GAUGAACGCUGGCGGCGUGCCUAAUACAUGCAAGUCGAGCGAACAGACGAGGAGCUUGCUCCUCUGACGUUAGCGGCGGACGGGUGAGUAACACGUGGAUAACCUACCUAUAAGACUGGGAUAACUUCGGGAAACCGGAGCUAAUACCGGAUAAUAUAUUGAACCGCAUGGUUCAAUAGUGAAAGACGGUUUUGCUGUCACUUAUAGAUGGAUCCGCGCCGCAUUAGCUAGUUGGUAAGGUAACGGCUUACCAAGGCAACGAUGCGUAGCCGACCUGAGAGGGUGAUCGGCCACACUGGAACUGAGACACGGUCCAGACUCCUACGGGAGGCAGCAGUAGGGAAUCUUCCGCAAAGGGCGAAAGCCUGACGGAGCAACGCCGCGUGAGUGAUGAAGGUCUUCGGAUCGUAAAACUCUGUUAUUAGGGAAGAACAAAUGUGUAAGUAACUAUGCACGUCUUGACGGUACCUAAUCGGAAAGCCACGGCUAACUACGUG
rnacentral:rRNA from 1 species